rnacentral:tRNA from 1 species
GCGCUGGUAGCUCAGCUGGUUAGAGCGUACGACUGAUAAUCGUAAGGUCGGAGGUUCGAGUCCUCCUCGGCGCACCA